CGGCUUGUCACGUCGGGUGAUGAAAGCCUGGGGCUUAACCCCGGGUCUGCAUUCGAUACGGGCUAGCUAGAGUGUGGUAGGGGAGAUCGGAAUUCCUGGUGUAGCGGUGAAAUGCGCAGAUAUCAGGAGGAACACCGGUGGCGAAGGCGGAUCUCUGGGCCAUUACUGACGCUGAGGAGCGAAAGCGUGGGGAGCGAACAGGAUUAGAUACCCUGGUAGUCCACGCCGUAAACGGUGGGAACUAGGUGUUGGCGACAUUCCACGUCGUCGGUGCCGCAGCUAACGCAUUAAGUUCCCCGCCUGGGGAGUACGGCCGCAAGGAUAGAACUCAAAGGAGUUGACGGGGGCCCCCACAAGCAGCGGAGCAUGUGACUUAAUUCGACGCGACGAGAAGAAC
rnacentral:rRNA from 1 species